GUGGGGAAUUUUGCGCAAUGGGGGAAACCCUGACGCAGCAACGCCGCGUGAGUGAUGAAGGCCUUCGGGUCGUAAAGCUCUGUCAGAGGGGAAGAAAUGCAGGGGUGCUAAUAUCAUCUUUGCUUGACGGUACCCUCAAAGGAAGCACCGGCUAACUCCGUGCCAGCAGCCGCGGUAAUACGGAGGGUGCGAGCGUUGUUCGGACUUAUUGGGCGUAAAGCGCGUGUAGGCGGUUUGGUAAGUCUGAUGUGAAAGCCCCGGGCUCAACCUGGGAAGUGCAUUGGAAACUGUCAGACUUGAAUACGGGAGAGGGUAGUGGAAUUCCUAGUGUAGGAGUGAAAUCCGUAGAUAUUAGGAGGAACACCGGUGGCGAAGGCGGCUACCUGGACCGAUAUUGACGCUGAGACGCGAAAGCGUGGGGAGCAAACAGGAUUAGAAACCCUAGUAGUCC
rnacentral:rRNA from 1 species